rnacentral:tRNA from 3 species
GGAGGAAUACCCAAGUCCGGCUGAAGGGAUCGGUCUUGAAAACCGACAGGCGGGUCAAACCGCGCGGGGGUUCGAAUCCCUCUUCCUCCU